CUGAAAAUUAAGAUGGCUAAACUAGAUACAGAAACUUAGGCCGCAAUAAGCGGGGUAGAGGAUUUUGUUCUGUAAUAAUAACAUAUCGUAAGAAUAACAGAAGUAAUAAUGCAGUUAUGAGUAACUAUAAAAGCUUUGAAAUAAAGCUUCUCCGAAAGCCCAAGGUCUGUGCGAUCAAUAUGAUAAUCAAAAGCAUGUAAGGCAGUGCCUAAGCUAACAUCGAAGGGUGAAUGCGAUGGCUAAUUGAUUCUAUUCAGA
rnacentral:rRNA from 1 species